GAUGAACGCUGGCGGCGUGCCUAAUACAUGCAAGUCGAGCGAAUGAAUUAAGAGCUUGCUCUUAUGAAGUUAGCGGCGGACGGGUGAGUAACACGUGGGUAACCUGCCCAUAAGACUGGGAUAACUCCGGGAAACCGGGGCUAAUACCGGAUAAUAUUUUGAACUGCAUGGUUCAAAAUUGAAAGGCGGCUUCGGCUGUCACUUAUGGAUGGACCCGCGUCGCAUUAGCUAGUUGGUGAGGUAGCGGCUCACCAAGGCAACGAUGCGUAGCCGACCUGAGAGGGUGAUCGGCCACACUGGGACUGAGGAACGGCCCAGACUCCUACGGGAGGCAGCAGUAGGGAAUCUUCCGCAAUGGACGAAAGUCUGACGGAGCAACGCCGCGUGAGUGAUGAAGGCUUUCGGGUCGUAAAACUCUGUUGUUAGGGAAGAACAAGUGCUAGUUGAAUAAGCCGGCACCUUGACGGUACCUAACCAGAAAGCCACGGCUAACUACGUGCCAGCCGCCGCGGUAA
rnacentral:rRNA from 1 species